rnacentral:rRNA from 1 species
GACGAACGCUGGCGGCGUGCCUAAUACAUGCAAGUUGAGCGAUGAAGAUUGGUGCUUGCACCAAUUUGAAGAGCAGCGAACGGGUGAGUAACGCGUGGGGAAUCUGCCUUUGAGCGGGGGACAACAUUUGGAAACGAAUGCUAAUACCGCAUAACAACUUUAAACAUAAGUUUUAAGUUUGAAAGAUGCAAUUGCAUCACUCAAAGAUGAUCCCGCGUUGUAUUAGCUAGUUGGUGAGGUAAAGGCUCACCAAGGCGAUGAUACAUAGCCGACCUGAGAGGGUGAUCGGCCACAUUGGGACUGAGACACGGCCCAAACUCCUACGGGAGGCAGCAGUAGGGAAUCUUCGGCGAUGGACGAAAGUCUGGCCGAGCAACGCCGCGUGAGUGAAGAAGGUUUUCGGAUCGUAAAACUCUGUUGGUAGAGAAGAACGUUGGUGAGAGUGGAAAGCUCAUCAAGUGACGGUAACUACCCAGAAAGGGACGGCUAACUACGUG